AACGAACGCUGGCGGCAUGCCUAACACAUGCAAGUCGAACGAGACCUUCGGGUCUAGUGGCGCACGGGUGCGUAACGCGUGGGAACCUGCCUUUAGGUUCGGAAUAACUCAGAGAAAUUUGAGCUAAUACCGGAUGAUGUCUUCGGACCAAAGAUUUAUCGCCUUUAGAUGGGCCCGCGUAAGAUUAGCUAGUUGGUGGGUAAAGCCUACCAAGGCGACGAUCUUUAGCUGGUCUGAGAGGAUGAUCAGCCACACUGGGACUGAGACACGGCCCAGACUCCUACGGGAGCAGCAGUGGGGAAUAUUGGACAAUGGGCGAAAGCCUGAUCCAGCAAUGCCGCGUGAGUGAUGAAGGCCUUAGGGUUGUAAAGCUCUUUUACCCGAGAUGAUAAUGACAGUAUCGGAGAAUAAGCUCCGGCUAACUCCGUGCCAGCAGCCGCGGUAAAGUGACUACUG
rnacentral:rRNA from 1 species